rnacentral:lncRNA from 10 species
GAACCCACCGGAAGGAACCAACUCUGGACACACUAGCACACAAUAAGUGCCCCCAUAAGCUUUAGCAGGUAUUCUAAUUUCCAGUAGUAUCUGAGGAAGAAUCACCUUAUUGUACUAGACUUCCUGAACACUACUGCGUACCUGUGGACCAUGUGUUGGGCUGGGGAUGGUACUUGGUACACAAGAACACAUACUCUGUAUCACAUUAGCUGCCAUCCCUCAAUCUAUCCUCUGAGCUGGAGGCUUAUGAAGCCCCAAAGAUGGUAGAAAAGAAUGUGUGUGCAAGAACUGGAAAGGUGAGACAGAAUUCACGACACCACAAAUUGUGGAGAGACCAUCUUUUACCCGAGGUGGACAUAACAGGGCCACGUGAAGGAGCCUGGUGAGCACAGCUGCCUGUCCUCUGGGGAGAAGGCAGAGAAGAAGUGCCACAUCCUGUGAUGUGGUGAACGCCACAGUCCAAGGCAAACACAAUAGCUACAUUGUUUAUCUCUCAGCCAACUUUACAGCCCAUCGUAGCAUGCCCAGAAGCCUCUCCCCGUAUGUCAUAGCAACACUGCAGACGGGAUUAUGUGAUUAUGAAGUCAGUAACUCCCUUCCUUGAUUAAACAUGAACUCAAACAGACAGUCAUUCACUCUGGGGGAAACCCAUUUUUCUGCUUGUCUGGAGAAGCAAGACACAGGUAACAUACAGCAAUGUUAGGUUUCAACUAAUUAAAAAUGGGAAUGAACACACGCACACGCACGCACACACUUCUUCAGUUCCCUGUCAAAUCUUCCUGAGGACAACAUAGUUUGGUUAUGAUGAAAACUUUAGAAACGGGAAACAUUCUGCUUAGAUUGUUAAAAUUGAGAACAACGCAGAGCUGGUUGGGCUCAUCAUCCCACCAGGAGACAGUUCUGCUUACAAUUUAUCUAGCAAAAUAGAGUAAGGCAGCAGAAAAAAUCUUGGUUUCCUAGUGACCUUUAAGUAAGUGCUCCCAUUUCAAAUAGACUCAGUACCAUAAAAACUUUCUUGGGCUGAGAACUUUCAUUUCCUUUGAAUAUAACUUUUGCGCUAACAUUCUUUCAUUUCUUCUUCUUCAGACAAUCAUUGUUUCUUCCUUUCACUCAAACCUGCCUCUGUUCCCCGGUUUUCACGGUUUACAGGGCAUAGCCCAGGUGAUGUACAGCCCACAUGGGAAUCAAGGCAGUUCCCACACAGCACCAGCACAAAGUCAUUUCUUUGUAGAAGCUGGGCUUCUUCAGGGCUGUGUAACUCAUAGGUGUCGUGGAGGGUCUCAGAAGGAAACGAGGGAAGGCAAUUCUGUGUUGCAGAAAAAGAGUUUUUCUAAAAAGAAGCUGAAAUAAUUACCAGAGACAAAAAUUAACAUUGCUUUAUAUUUACAGAAGAAACUAAGAGGAAGUAGGCUUAGAAUUGUAGCAUCAGGGAAUGAGAAGUUUAUUAAGGCUUCUCCCCACUACAGAACCAUUUAUUAAACUGUUUCCAGAAUGGAUACAUUUUCACAAUGAUCCUACUCAAUCUCUCUUCAUAGAAGGCUCUGUGAUAAAAGAAGAUAUAGAUCCCCUGCUCCACAGACGGCUGACACUGGGUAAAAGAUGCACACAUACUUGGAAGCCCUCAGGAAAAUUAGAUCAUUAUCUUCUCGUUUUUUCUUUGCCUCCAAAGACUUAGAUUUUUACCUAUGUACUCGAAAAGCAACUGCAGACUUCCAAUCAAGAUGCUGUAAGUUCAAACCUGGAAGCGUUCCCUUCUACUCCAAAUCCAUAGUAAUGACAGGUAAAAUAUAAAAACAGG